UCCGGCGUAGUCUAGUGGUUAGGCUACCUGGCUUUCACCCAGGAGACCCGGGUUCGAAUCCCGGCGUCGGAA
rnacentral:tRNA from 1 species